ACGACAGCGGAAUGAUAGCCGGGCUGAAGACUCUGCUUGACUAGCUGAGAGGAGGUGCAUGGCCGUCGUCAGUUCGUACUGUGAAGCAUCCUGUAAGUCAGGCAACGAGCGAGACCCACGCCAACAGUUGCCAGCAUGGAUCUCCGGAUUGAUGGGGACACUGUUGGGACCGCCUCUGCUAAAGGGGAGGAAGGAAUGGGCAACGGUAGGUCCAGCAUGCCCCGAAUUAUCCGGGCUACACGCGGGCUACAAUGGAUGGGACAAUGGGUUCCGACACCGAAAGGUGAAGGUAAUCUCCUAACCCCACCCGUAGUUCGGAUUGCGGGCUGCAACUCGCCCGCAUGAAGCUGGAAUCCGUAGUAAUCGCGUCUCACGAUGGCGCGGUGAAUAUGUCCCUGCUCCUU
rnacentral:rRNA from 1 species